GGCAAAAAGAUUUCGCCAGUGCAAAGCAAAAUAUGAAACUACUUCAAACUGCAGAAAGCGAAAUGUGAAUGUGUAUAGUUGGUAACGUGCUGUUCAGGUUAUUUUCUGAAAUUUGAAUUAAUAUUUAUUUAUAGAAGUAACCAAAAGAGAAAUGUAUUCCUAAGAUUACAUUUGAGAUAGUAUAUUAUAGCUUUGUUCUGAGUGCAUGGAAAAUCGCUGACGAAAUUUCUUUUUAAAUUCCUGGGUGUGGUAAAAUGAGCGAGCGUCAUUCUAAUAAAAUCUCCUGUAAUGUAUAUGCAAAGAACAUUCUUUCCAGUCACGAACUUGAACUGUACGAGUUAUGCCGGAUGAGUGGUCUUUCUAUCGAUCCAGCUGUGUUUAAAAUUUUGGUCGAUCUUCUGAAGAUGGAUGUGCAGGCAGCUGCAAUUUUCGAUGUCUUGCAGAGCAUAUCUACACAAGUUUCAAAACCUCUUCCAUCACAGAGAAAAUCGCAGAAUAGUUCUACAACUUAUUUAGCCACCAAGAAGAAACCUCCAGUAGCUGCUAAACCCAAAAUGAUCAAAGGAGAUCAUUCCGAUGUUUGAUCUUUAGAUGUAAAUAUUUUAUUUUUAUUUGUAUCUUCGAAAAUGUUUUUUUAAAAAAGGUUAUUUUUUUUGUUAAAAGUUAUAUGUACUUAACAGAAGGAAAUUUUGUUAUUUUUUUUAGUAAAUUUUGUUAUAUAAAAAAUGAUGUGAAUGUUAUUGUUCGUAAAUAACACUGCAUUUCCUCAUGUAUCUCACCGCAACUUUUUAAAUUUAUAAAAUGUUAGCAUAAUUUUCCCCUUCUUCAGUGCGAUCAGAGAGCAAGUACUCCUAAAAUUUUAAAUAUAUUUAUUCACGUAUUGAUUGUUUUUGGUUUAAUAACAAAGACAAACCUUCCUCCAAUUAUUUAUGAAUGAUUUGCUAAUCCUUAGCAGAGGCAACAAUAAGAACAGGCGAGAUUGAAGUUACAGGAAAUUAGAAACAUUGUAUGUUAAUGUGCAUUCUUAUUGAAAUGUAGGUUUCUUUUGAAGAUAUAAAUGUUACAAUAAUUACCAGCAAUUUAUGCAUGACUCCUUUCCGUUUAUUGCACUCUUAUUGUAACCACAUCUUUUGGAAUUAAAAAUAUUCACAUAA